rnacentral:misc_RNA from 1 species
GCUUUACCAUUCAAUUUACUCAUAAGGGAAACCAAUGGAACAUUCUGUGGCUGAUAAUUUGCUCUGACCUCAACCUUAACAUCAUAAAGUUUAGAAUCAUUUAUAUUUCUGCCAGGAAAAUCUGACAUCUGAUAUCUGGAGUUUACUGUGAAGCGUGAUUGACGAUAGGGAAGUGACCUUUGAGGGGGCAAAGACACCUCUACCAUUCCUCCUCUGAUAUGAGAUUCCCUGAGAGAAAAAGGUUUGCUCCAAUCCUGAACUCCG